rnacentral:rRNA from 1 species
AAGGGCCUACGGGGGGCAGCAGUGGGGAAUAUUGCACAAUGGGCGAAAGCCUGAUGCAGCAACGCCGCGUGAAGGAAGAAGGGUUUCGGCUCGUAAACUUCUAUCAACAGGGACGAAAGAAAUGACGGUACCUGAAUAAGAAGCCCCGGCUAACUACGUGCCAGCAGCCGCGGUAAUACGUAGGGGGCAAGCGGUAUCCGGAAUUACUGGGGGGAAAGGGUGAGUAGGCGGCAUGGUAAGCCAGAUGUGAAAGCCUUGGGCUUAACCCAAGGAUUGCAUUUGGAACUAUCAAGCUAGAG